rnacentral:lncRNA from 1 species
AAUUAUUGCCCGGUCCAGUAAAAUAGAAACAGUCCAUAGUGUCCGAUUACAAACGGGCUACAAGGCCCAGACCAAAACAAAGCGGUGGCCCAAAUUACAAUGGCCCAAAACGGAUGAAACCCUAGGGUUUCUAAUCUUCAACAGCGCCGCAAGCCAAGCCUCGCCCCCGAAUCUCCGUGAUCUUCACCUGCAAGGAAACCAACAACAUAUGGAAAGAAAAUCAUGGAUUUGCGAAUCAAAGAUAUAACCAGAUUUUUUUUUCAGAUUUUUUUUUUCUUUCUUUGGUUUAUUAUUAUCAUGGCUAUAAGAGGCCAUCGAACAUACUGUAAUGGCGGAUGGGAAAUCAAUAAAAAAAAAGGCACAAUUUUUACAACACAAACAGUGAAACAAACGAAAUCUAAGGUUGUUUUCUAUUCUAUUUUAUUUUUUAUUUAUUUAUUUUUUAUAUACUAUUAUAAAUCAAAAUAAAGGAGAGAAACAACCUUUUCUCUUUGGAAACGCCGUACGACGGCCGAGGGAGUCACCCCCGAGGAUCGGUGGCCAGAAACCGAAAGGCUUCGUGUUGUUUUGGAACCUCCUUGCUGGCGUUUUGAAGGAUUUAAGCCCGGAUUUGGGCAUAAGGGUGUCGAGAAGGCUAAAAGGGAGAUUUUCCCUUUUCUCGGCCAACGCAGAUGGUGGUGCUGGCGCCGGAGAUCGGCGGCCGGCGCGGUGGCCGACGAAGGGCCAAUGACCGACUGAUGGCCGGAGAAACGAGAGG